rnacentral:rRNA from 1 species
CACGUAGGGACCAAGCGUUGUCCGGAUUCAUUGGGCGUAAAGAGCUCGUAGGCGGUUCGGUAAGUCGGGUGUGAAACCUCCAGGCUCAACCUGGAGACGCCACCCGAUACUGCUGUGACUAGAGUCCAGUAGGGGAGCGUGGAAUUCCUGGUGUAGCGGUGAAAUGCGCAGAUAUCAGGAGGAACACCGGUGGCGAAGGCGGUUCUCUGGGCAUUACCUGACGCUGAGGAGCGAAAGUGUGGGGAGCGAACAGG